rnacentral:rRNA from 1 species
AUGAGCUUUACCGUCGCGUGCCUUAUUAAGGUUUUCGGAUCGUAAAGCUCUGUUGUUGGGAAUUCGUCCGGUUGAGUAACUGCUGCCUCCGUUAGAUACUGAGAAGAAAGCCCCGGCUAACUACGUGCCAGCAGCCGCGGUAAUACGUAGGGGGCAAGCGUUGUCCGGAAUUAUUGGGCGUAAAGCGCGCGCAGGCGGCUAUUUAAGUCUGGUGUUUAAACCUUGGGCUCAACCUGGGGUCGCACUGGAAACUGGGUGGCUUGAGUACAGAAGAGGAAAGUGGAAUUCCACGUGUAGCGGUGAAAUGCGUAGAGAUGUGGAGGAACACCAGUGGCGAAGGCGACUUUCUGGGCUGUAACUGACGCUGAGGCGCGAAAGCGUGGGGAGCAAACAGGAUUAGAUACCCUGGUAGUCCACGCCGUAAACGAUGAGUGCUAGGUGUUAGGGGUUUCGAUACCCUUGGUGCCGAAGUUAACACAGUAAGCACUCCGCCUGGGGAGUACGGUCGCAAGACUGAAACUCAAAGGAAUUGACGGGGACCCGCACAAGCAGUGGAGUAUGUGGUUUAAUUCGAAGCAACGCGAAGAACCUUACCAGGUCUUGACAUCCAACUAACGAAGCAGAGAUGCAUUAGGUGCCCUUCGGGGAAAGUUGAGACAGGUGGUGCAUGGUUGUCGUCAGCUCGUGUCGUGAGAUGUUGGGUUAAGUCCCGCAACGAGCGCAACCCUUGACUUUAGUUGCCAGCAGGUCAGGCUGGGCACUCUAGAGUGACUGCCGGUGACAAACCGGAGGAAGGUGGGUAUGACGUCAAAUCAUCAUGCCCCUUAUGACCUGGGCUACACACGUACUACGAUGACCGGUACAACGUGAAGCGAAGCCGCGAGGUGCAGCCAAUCCCAGCAAAGCCGGUCUCAGUU